AUGCCUAGCGACAAGGUGCCUGGGCCGGAUGGCUUCACCGGCCUCUUCUUCAAGAAGUGUUGGGGCAUCAUCAAGCACGACCUCAUGAGGGUGAUUCAAUGCUUUGACUCCCUCCACACAACAAAUCUUCACUGGCUCAAUUCUGCGAAUGUUGUGUUGCUUCCCAAGAAGGAUGGGGCGGAGAGCAUCGUCGAUUAUAGACCCAUCAGUCUCAUUCAUGGAAUCGCCAAGAUCAUUGCAAAAGUGCUCUCCAUAAGGCUUGGACCGCAUAUGUCCACCCUCGUCUCCAACGCUCAAAGUGCUUUCAUGAAAACACGGAGCAUCCACGACAACUUCAUGUAUGUUCGAAACCUCGCGCAGCGCCUUCACAAGAGCAAGACCCCCUCCCUGCUAUUCAAGUUGGACAUUCGCAAGGCCUUUGACUCUGUCAAAUGGGAGUAUUUGCUUGACCUCCUUCGGAGACGAGGUUUCCCAAGCAAAUUUCGAGAGUGGAUUGCAGCACUCCUAUGUUCCUUAUCUUCGAGGAUCCUCUUGAAUGGAGUACCUGGUGCUCCCAUCAAGCACGGCCAGGGGCUACGCCAAGGGGACCCCGUCUCUGCACUCUUGUUUGUCAUAGCUAUU
rnacentral:rRNA from 1 species